rnacentral:rRNA from 1 species
GAGUUUGAUCCUGGCUCAGAAUGAACGCUGGCGGCAUGCCUAACACAUGCAAGUCGAACGAAGGCUUCGGCCUUAGUGGCGCACGGGUGCGUAACGCGUGGGAAUCUGCCCUCAGGUUCGGAAUAACAGCGAGAAAUUGCUGCUAAUACCGGAUGAUAUCGCGAGAUCAAAGAUUUAUCGCCUGAGGAUGAGCCCGCGUAGGAUUAGCUAGUUGGUGUGGUAAAGGCGCACCAAGGCGACGAUCCUCAGCUGGUCUGAGAGGAUGAUCAGCCACACUGGGACUGAGACACGGCCCAGACUCCUACGGGAGGCAGCAGUGGGGAAUAUUGGACAAUGGGCGAAAGCCUGAUCCAGCAAUGCCGCGUGAGUGAUGAAGGGCCUUAGGGUUGUAAAGCUCUUUUACCCGGGAUGAUAAUGACAGUACCGGGAGAAUAAGCUCCGGCUAACUCCGUGCCAGCAGCCGCGGUAAUACGGAGGGAGCUAGCGUUAUUCGGAAUUACUGGGCGUAAAGCGCACGUAGGCGGCUUUGUAAGUUAGAGGUGAAAGCCUGGAGCUCAACUCCAGAAUUGCCUUUAAGACUGCAUCGCUUGAAUCCAGGAG